AAUAUGUGAACAUGUAGGGUCCUUUGUGGAGAAUAACAAAGCUCUGAGUUUGAGAGUGAUGUAAUGUCCAUGUCUCCAUGCUGCUCUGACCCCCCCCCCCCCUCUUUCAGGGUGGAGCCUGCUGGAGUCCGAUGGUUGAGACACGGUCUGAGGAAGUAUUCCUGUGAACUCUCACUCGACACAAACACAGCACACAGAGAACUCAAACUGUCUGAGGACAACAGGAAGGUGACAUGUGUGAGGAGGAGCAGCCAUAUCCUGAUCAUCCAGAGAGGUUUGAUUACUGGUAUCAGCUGAUGUGUAGAGAAGCUCUGACUGGUCGCUGUUACUGGGAGGUCGAGUGGAGAGGAUGGGUUACUAUAUCAGUGACUUACAGAGGAAUCAGCAGGAGAGGAAAGAGUGAAGACUGUUUGUUUGGAAGGAAUGAUCAGUCCUGGAGUCUGAGCUGCUCUGAUGGUCGUUACUCUGUCUAUCACAAUAACAGAGUAACACACAUCUCCUCCUCCUCCUCCUCCUCUGGUAGAGUAGCAGUGUAUCUGGAUCAUCCUGCUGGCUCUCUCUCCUUCUACAGAGUCUCCUCUGAGACACUGAUCCACCUCCACACCUUCAGAACCACAUUCACUGAACCUCUCUAUGCUGGGUUUGGAGUUUGGCUCUGGUUCCUCAGUGUCUCUGGUUCCUCUGUAGGAGGAAGAGUCUCCUCCUGUUCCAGAGACUUCCUCCCUGCUGCCCAGAGAGUUCAGUCUGUUCAGGAUCACAGCUGAUGUUAGUUAGUACCAACCUGAUGAGUUUA